rnacentral:rRNA from 1 species
GACGAACGCUGGCGGCGUGCUUAACACAUGCAAGUCGAACGGUGAACCUCUUCGGAGGGGCUCAGUGGCUAACGGGUGAGUAACACGUUGGCAACCUGCCCCCGGCUCUGGGAUAACUCCAAGAAAUUGGGGCUAAUACCGUAUGUUCACCGCUUCCCGCAUGGGUGGUGGUGGAAAGGUUUUCCGGAUGGGGAUGGGCCCGCGGCCUAGCAUCGGGUUGGUAGGGUAGUGGCCUACCAAGGCGACGACGGGUAGCCGGCCUGAGAGGGUGACCGGCCCCACUGGGAUUGGGGAAGCGGCAAGAGUCCUUCGGGAGGAAGGAGUGGAGAAUAUUGCGAAAAGGGCCGAAGGAUUAAGGAGGGACGCCGGGUGGGGGAUGACGGCCUUCGGGUAGUAAAACUCUUUCAGCAGGGACGAAGCGUAAGUGACGGUACCAGCAGAAGAAGCACCGGCAAACUACGU